rnacentral:rRNA from 1 species
UACAGGGGGGGGCAAGCGUUUGUUCGGAAUUACUGGGCGUAAAGGGUCUGUAGGUGGCUUGCUAAAGUCAGACGUGAAAUCCCUCAGCUUAACUGGGGAACUGCGUCUGAUACUGGCGAGCUUGAGUGCAGGAGAGGAACGCGGAAUUCCAGGUGUAGCGGUGAAAUGCGUAGAUAUCUGGAGGAAUACCGGGUGGCGAAGGCGGCAUCCUGGACCGACAUUGACGCUGAACGGCGAAAGCUAGGGGAGCAAACGGG